rnacentral:misc_RNA from 1 species
AAGUCGUAACAAGGUUUCCGUAGGUGAACCUGCGGAAGGAUCAUUAACACGUAUCCAAACGUAAAAACCCCCCCCCGUGAACAUUCAAUCCUGCUCUUGUAACCCGCGUAGUUCGCAAUCUCUGGUAAAUCAUAGCCCGGAAAGUAGUUUUGAUUCAGAGGAAUCGUUGAAGCGCUAUCCUUGCACAAUCAGUGACACUUUCAGACACUAACUGCUUGGGGAAACAAUGCCUAUGAAACUACCGCUCGAUUGUAACUGUUCCAAUGUUCUCACGUAGCCAGAGGUCUGUAGACCGUACACUCGGGCAGGAGCUAUGCCAAAGGGUCCCCAUGCCCCCUUAUAACCCCACAGUUUAAUGUGAAGCUCAAUGUAAUACAUUGGGUAAAAAAACCGAACAACUGUUAACAAUGGAUAUCUUGGUUCUC